UGACAGGAUAGGGACAGGGAGGAGUCAAGGCAUAUGCCAGAUAAAGGAAGAACAUCGAUGCUCAUGUGAGUGUUGAUACUAAUUUGAUGUAGUAGAUAUCCUGGAGAUGAAUUAGUAUGAACAGAAUGAUGGGAGAAUUCGUGAAUCAGUUAACGGGCAUAUCAUGCUCUGGUCAGUCUCUCAACUAAGGAGCAUAGGAGUACUUUCACCUGUAUCACACACAGACAGAGCUAGGGUCUCACCUGAGACAAAGAGCUGGUGGAGAGGCUGCACUGUAAUCGCUGGAAGAAGAGGGAACUCAUCCACUGUACACUGAGCUUCCUGUAUCAUCAUGGUUCCAUCAAAGCUGAAGGCCAGGAGCCCCAUGUUGGAAGUGUCGUGUCUUUGGCUAUGCCGGAUUAAGUGAUAUGACAUGCUAACUUAUAAAAUGAUUUCUCUGUAAUUAAUAUUACCUGAUUAAGCUAAUCAUGUAAAUGUAAUUAACUAGAAAGUCGGGGCACCACGGAAGAACGUUUAUAGAGCUGUUAUCUUCCGAAUAAACUCUUAAAAUACAUAGUAAUAUUUCACCUCGAUAGCAGUCAAUAUUAACCCUUGUCUUAUUUUCAGUCUCAUAAUGAAAGUUGUAAGUUCUUGGCUAUCUUCACGAACCCUGGCUAACAAGUUGAAUCAGCAAUACAAAAUUGGGUUUAAUUAUUUAUUUACUAAAUACCUAACUAAUCACACAGAAUUACAAAUACACAGAAUACAAUGUCGUCAUACAGAAAACGUCCCGGUAGACGGAACAGAUAUGACGGCUGGUUACACAAAGGAAAGGGGGUUGGGCUUGAAUGAAAGAGUGGGGAGAUUUAGGAACAGAGAAACAGCAGCUAUGCUAUCGUAAAUACAUUAUCUUAUGCAUUCUAAAUUACCGGCCAUUUGGAAAAGGAAAAUGCAAUAAAUAUUUACUCUGAGCUGCGCUUCGGUAGAUUGGUCGUAGAUGCUGGCCGGGUUGGCCAACAGAUCUUCCUGUUACUCGGAAGAAUGUCUCUGGUGGUCAAUUGGAUACGUGGUGGUAUCUUCGUCCGUCUGUUAGACUGGAUCCGUCGUCCGUCCUUUCCUAGCCCACGUUACAGCAGCCGCUGCUAACUCAACGGCUAGGAAGUAGCACUUCUGUAGUGAAUAAGCUCAAAGUUCAUACCAGUUCAUACCAUAGCUCACGCCGAGGUUGGCUUAGUUGACAUGUGUGUCCUUCUAACGUAGAGGCUGCAGGCCUCCCGUACUGGAACAACCUGGUUAUCUUUUCGUCAAAGGAUUAUAUAGUGGGGAGGGGGAGGGAGGUGUUUCAUCGUUUAUAACCCCUGUCUCUUCACAGGGUUGGGUUACUGAUCGAGCCGGGCACUUUCUUUAUGAAAACCCAAAUCUCUCAUUCGGAAGCUAAAAUUACAUUUCAUCUCCUAACAAACAUUUUCAAUAUCAAACAUUUCAAUUGCAUAACAAUUCCAUGUGACUCUGAUAACCAGAGGGUGUAUACUUUCUCAGAUACAGUUUAUGUCGUCCUGUCAUCAGUCACAAUGUCUCAGAUGACAACCGAACUGACAUACAUACUCAUUACGUUCCCAAGCAUAUUUCCAACUGGUUUUAUCAACAAAAUAUGUGGUACCUUUCUCCAUUUGUUUGAUGUUCCCAGACUCUCUAUAUUUAACAGGACAGCAGUCCUUCAGUAGGGUCAGUAAGAGAG
rnacentral:lncRNA from 1 species